UGGGGAAUUUUGGACAAUGGGGGCAACCCUGAUCCAGCCAUGCCGCGUGCGGGAAGAAGGCCUUCGGGUUGUAAACCGCUUUUGGUCGGGAAGAAAAGGCUGAGGCUAAUAUCCUUGGUUCUUGACGGUACCGGCAGAAUAAGCACCGGCUAACUACGUGCCAGCAGCCGCGGUAAUACGUAGGGUGCGAGCGUUAAUCGGAAUUACUGGGCGUAAAGCGUGCGCAGGCGGUAAGUUAAGUCUGAUGUGAAAGCCCCGGGCUCAACCUGGGAAUGGCAUUGGAAACUGGCUUGCUAGAGUGUGGCAGAGGGGGGUGGAACUCCGCGUGUAGCAGUGAAAUGCGUAGAGAUGCGGAAGAACACCGAUGGCGAAGGCAGCCCCCUGGGCUAACACUGACGCUCAGGCACGAAAGCGUGGGGAGCAAACA
rnacentral:rRNA from 1 species